rnacentral:rRNA from 1 species
UGGGGAAUCUUGCGCAAUGGGCGAAAGCCUGACGCAGCCAUGCCGCGUGAAUGAUGAAGGUCUUAGGAUUGUAAAAUUCUUUCACCGGGGACGAUAAUGACGGUACCCGGAGAAGAAGCCCCGGCUAACUUCGUGCCAGCAGCCGCGGUAAUACGAAGGGGGCUAGCGUUGCUCGGAAUUACUGGGCGGAAAGGGAGCGUAGGCGGACAUUUAAGUCAGGGGUGAAAUCCCGGGGCUCAACCUCGGAAUUGCCUUUGAUACUGGGUGUCUUGAGUAUGAGAGAAGUGUGUGGAACUCCGAGUGUAGAGGUGAAAUUCUUAGAUAUUCGGAAGCACACCAGUGGCGAAGGCGACACACUGGCUCAUUACUGACGCUGAGGCUCGAAAGCGUGGGGAGCAAACAGG